UACAUAAUGAAGCCUCGUGCACAUAGAGGAAGAGGCUUCACACACACACAUACUCAACUAUCUCUCCAUCGCUACUAUUUCCCACACUGUUUCAUUUUUGCAUCCAAACCCUAACAUAACACGAGCGAGUGCUGAGAUUGUCACCGGCACCAACACCACCACCACCUCCACCUCCACCACCACCACCACCACCACCACCACCACUACUACUACUACUACUAAUAAUAAUACUAAUAUAAUAGUAGUAGUAUUAUCAGCAUCAUCAGCACCACCUUAAUAUUGCAUUUGUUCCUCAACAUAGGAAUUGUUCUCCUAUAUUCUGUCACAAGAGUUAAGAGAAGCAAGAAACAUGAAGUCUUGGAGAAUAUUAUGUUUCGUUAUAUUGUUGAUCACGAUGACUGCAGCAGAUGAUCAGUUGCUGUGCUGUAUGAAAGGUGUAAAAAGAAUGAGAAAAGCUGUGUUCUGUUCUGAACCAUGUUGUUCAGGCUACAUUGAACGCGUUGAAAAUCCUCCACUGCUGGGUCUUGUGGUCUUUUGUGAGAAGCUGGAGGUCUAACAUGUGGAAUAUGCGUUACCUUAAUAGUUCUGUUCAUAGCCAUGGCUGUUGUUGUAUAUAAACCGUACCAUGGUUCUGACAAGUCAACAUCUCGAAUUCCUCACAGAUCAAUGGAACCUCUAGCAACUUUCGUUAACACUGUAUUUAAUCUGAAUAAUGCACUCUAACCUUGGUAAUCUUCACAGCUGUCAUAGAUGACCAACACCAGUAAUUAUUUUACAUUCUAUAUACACUGAAGCAAUAAACUAUGUAGAGUAGUGAGUUGGCUCUGAGUUAAAAACUCAACAGUUCAUAAUUAUGUUCCCAUCAAUUCCUUAAUGUACUUCGUUGCUAUUAUGCAAAAGUGUCGUAAGUUCAAAACGUUGCUUUGUCAGAAAACGAAAAAAUAGUUCGUGAAGUAUUUGCCACUUAAAUGUGGCUAACCCCUAAGGGUGGAUGCUACUGCAGCUUGUAGCCCCAGGAGGACAUCUCCUCCAGCUGGCUAUUAACACACUUUCUGUGCCCUAUCAAUAUUUACAAAGGGAAGCCACCCUUCCCAUCUUCAACCUGUAUGAUACAGCUGUCAUAGUUUCAACAUUCCAUAGCAAAACCGUUGUACUACACUUUGAUAAUUUUUUAUAUCUUGGUAUCUGAAGCAGCUGGAGAUACCGUAGAUUGACCAAAAGAACCGGCUAUAGCAAGCAAAAAUAAAUAUUGAAAAAAACGCAUUUGGCCAAAUUUGGACAUACGACAAUUUAACAUAAUAGCAACGACUUAAUGUUUGAGGGAGAUGCAUAGACAUCACAAUUCUCAUUUCAAAUUUUUUUUCAAUAAUAUUAUUUCAAACAAGUUCUUCAUCCUUGGAGAAAUUAACAAGAAUCACCAUCAUAUAUUAUGUUAUGGGUAACGCUCAGAAAUCGAUGAACUAUUGAAAUAAAUAAAAACAAAUAGCGACAAACAGAUAUACAGGUAGGCAGAUAGAAACUGACAGACAGUAUCUAACUACAUUCUGUCAUGUAUGCAUGUACUUUAUUCAGCAAUUUAAUCAUAUGUAAUAAAUGUCUAAUAGACAAAA
rnacentral:lncRNA from 1 species